CCUACGGGAGGCUGCAGUGAGGAAUAUUGGUCAAUGGACGAGAGUCUGAACCAACCAAGUAGCGUGAAGGAUGACUGCCCUAUGGGUUGUAAACUUCUUUUAUAUGGGAAUAAAAUGUUCCACGUGUGGGAUUUUGUAUGUACCAUAUGAAUAAGGAUCGGCUAACUCCGUGCCAGCAGCCGCGGUAAUACUGAGGAUCCGAGCGUUAUCCGGAUUUAUUGGGUUUAAAGGGAGCGUAGGUGGAUUGUUAAGUCAGUUGUGAAAGUUUGCGGCUCAACCGUAAAAUUGCAGUUGAAACUGGCAGUCUUGAGUACAGUAGAGGUGGGCGGAAUUCGUGGUGUAGCGGUGAAAUGCUUAGAUAUCACGAAGAACUCCGAUUGCGAAGGCAGUUCACUGGACUGCAACUGACACUGAGGCUCGAAAGUGUGGGUAUCAAACAGGAUUAGAUACCCUAGUAGUC
rnacentral:rRNA from 1 species